GGGAAAAAUUAGUAUAAAAAUAAAAUUAAUAAAAAUAAUUUUAAAAAAUAUUAUAAUGGGGGUUAAAGUAUUUUUUAAAGAAAAAAUUAUUAAAUUUAUAGUAAAUUAGUAUUGUGAAAUAAUUUUGAAAUAGAUGAAAAUAAAUUAAUUAAAAAGUAAAUUUUAUUUAUUGUAUCUUGUGUAUCAGAGUUUAUCAAUAAAAAAUUUUAUUAAAAAAUAAUUCUCGAAUUUAAAAGAGUUAAUUAAUUAGGAAAUUUAUUGUAGCAAAAAUAUUUUUAAUAAUUAAUUUGAAAUGAAAUGUUAAUCGUUUUUAAAUAUAUCUAGUUUUUUUAGAAAAAAGUUUAAUUUAAAAUUUAUAAAAAAAAAAAUUAAUUAAUAAAUUUUUUUUUAAAAUAAAUUUAAUAUUUUAAGGGAUAAGCUUUAAUUUAAAUUUUUAUAAUGAUAUUAAAUAUAUAUAAAAAUUUUAAAAUUUAUAUUGUUUAAAAAUUAUAAUUUUUUAUAAAUAAUUUUAUAAAAAUUAAAAUUUAAUUUUAUAUUUAAUUUUUUAUAAAAAAAUAAAUAUAUAAUUAAAUAAUUUUAGUUAUAAUGAUAAAAUUAGUAUAAAAUUUAAUAAUUAAUAUUUUUAUUUUAUAGAAUUAAUUAUAAGGAAUUCGGCAAAAUUUAUAUUCACUUGUUUAUCAAAAACAUGUCUUUUUGUUAAUAAUUUAAAGUCUAAUCUGCCCACUGAUAAAAAUUAAAGGGCUGCAGUAUUUUGACUGUACAAAGGUAGCAUAAUCAUUAGUCUCUUAAUUGGUGACUUGUAUGAAAGAUUGGAUGAGAUAUAAACUGUCUUAUUUUUAAAUUUAGAAUUUAAUUUUUUAUUAAAAAAGUUAAAAUAUAUUUAAAAGACGAGAAGACCCUAUAGAGUUUUAUUUAUAAUUUAAUUAAAAAUUUUUUUAUUAAAUUUAAAUUUAAAUUAGAUUAUAAAUUUUGUUGGGGUGAUAGAAAAAUUAAAUUAACUUUUUUUAAAUUAUAAAUAUAUGUAUUAUAUUAACAUUAAUUGAUGAAUAAAUGAUCCAUAAAUUAUGAUUAAAAGAUUAAAUUACCUUAGGGAUAACAGCGUAAUUUUUUUUUUUAGUUCAAAUAAAAAUAAAAGUUUGCGACCUCGAUGUUGGAUUAAGAUAAAAUUUAAAUGCAAAAGUUUAAAAUUUUUGAUCUGUUCGAUCAUUAAAAUCUUACAUGAUCUGAGUUCAAACCGGUGUAAGCCAGGUUGGUUUCUAUCUUUAAAAAAUAAAAAUAUUUUAGUACGAAAGGAUCAAAUAUUUAAAAUAAUUUUAAAAAAAAGAAUUUUAUUAAAUUUGUUUUAAAUUUAUAGGCUAUUUUGGCAGAUAAGU
rnacentral:rRNA from 1 species